GUUUUUGUUUGUUUGUUUUUU
rnacentral:sRNA from 1 species